GUGGGGAAUAUUGCACAAUGGGGGAAACCCUGAUGCAGCGAUGCCGCGUGGAGGAAGAAGGUUUUCGGAUUGUAAACUCCUGUCUUAAAGGACGAUAAUGACGGUACUUUAGGAGGAAGCUCCGGCUAACUACGUGCCAGCAGCCGCGGUAAUACGUAGGGAGCGAGCGUUGUCCGGAAUUACUGGGUGUAAAGGGAGCGUAGGCGGGAUUGCAAGUCAGAUGUGAAAUGCAGGGGCUCAACCCCUGAGCUGCAUUUGAAACUGUAGUUCUUGAGUGAAGUAGAGGUAAGCGGAAUUCCUGGUGUAGCGGUGAAAUGCGUAGAUAUCAGGAGGAACACCGGUGGCGAAGGCGGCUUACUGGGCUUUUACUGACGCUGAGGCUCGAAAGCGUGGGGAGCAAACAGG
rnacentral:rRNA from 1 species